UACGAAGGGAGCUAGCGUUGUUCGGAAUUACUGGGCGUAAAGCGCGCGUAGACGGUUUUGUAAGUCAGAUGUGAAAUCCCUGGGCUCAACCUGGGAACUGCAUUUGAGACUGCAUGGCUAGAGUAUGGAAGAGGGAAGUGGAAUUUCCGGUGUAGCGGUGAAAUGCGUAGAUAUCGGAAGGAACACCAGUGGCGAAAGCGACUUCCUGGUCCAAUACUGACGUUCAUGUGCGAAAGCGUGGGAGCAACAGG
rnacentral:rRNA from 1 species